rnacentral:tRNA from 1 species
GUCGAUAUGUCCGAGUGGUUAAGGAGAUAGACUUGAAAUCUAUUGGGCUACGCCCUCGCAGGUUCGAAUCCUGCUGUCGACG